rnacentral:rRNA from 1 species
AGAGUUUGAUCCUGGCUCAGGGUGAACGCUGGCGGCGUGCUUGACACAUGCAAGUCGAACGGUAUGUGGCAACACAUAGAGUGGCGAACGGGUGAGUAACACGUGGGAACGUAUCUUUUGCAGGGGGAUAACUGACCGAAAGGACAGCUAAUACCGCAUAAGUCCGGGAGGAGAAAGGUGCAACAGCAUCGGCAGAAGAGCGGCCCGCGGUCCAUCAGCUAGUUGGUGAGGUAAGGGCUUACCAAGGCGACGACGGAUAGCCGGCGUGAGAGCGUGGCCGGCCACAAGGACACUGAGAUACGGGUCCUACUCCUACGGGAGGCAGCAGUGCGGAAUUUUAGAUAAUGGAGGGAACUCUGAUCUAGCGACGCCGCGUGCAGGAAGAAGGUCUUCGGAUUGUAAACUGCUGUGGUAAGGGAAAAAUGCUAUGUAGAGUGGAAAGCUACAUAGAGGGAUGGUACCUUACUAGAAAGCCCCGGCUAACUACGUGCCAGCAGCCGCGGUAAUACGUAGGGGGCGAGCGUUACCCGGAAUCACUGGGCGUAAAGGGAGCGUAGGUGGCCUAACAUGUCAACUGUGAAAACCCGGAGCUCAACUCCGGACUUGCAGUUGAAACUGGUAGGCUUGAGGACGGUAGAGGAAGACGGAACUGCCAGUGUAGGGGUAAAAUCCUUAGAUAUUGGCAGGAACGCCGGUGACGAAAGUGGUUUUCUGGGCCGGUUCUGACACUGAUGCUCGAAAGCCAGGGGAGCGAACGGGAUUAGAUACCCCGGUAGUCCUGGCCCUAAACGAUGUUCACUAGGUGUGGGGAGCGGAAAGCUCUCCGUGCUAAAGCUAACGCGAUAAGUGAACCGCCUGGGGAGUACGCCCGCAGGGUGAAACUCAAAUGAAUUGACGG